rnacentral:rRNA from 1 species
UACGUAGGUGACAAGCGUUGUCCGGAAUCACUGGGCGUAAAGGGAGCGUAGGCGGGCUUCUAAGUUAGGUGUUUAAUCCCAGGGCCCAACCCUGGUCAGGCACCUAAAACUGGGAGUCUUGAAUAGUGGAGAGGACGAUGGAAUUGGGGGUGUAGCGGUGGAAUGCGUAGAGAUCCCCAAGAACACCAGUUGCGAAGGCGGUCGUCUGGACACAUAUUGACGCUGAGGCUCGAAAGCAUGGGGAGCAAACAGG